GGAGUUAGCCGGUGCUUCUUCUGUGAGUGAUGUCCUUCCUGCCGGCUAUUAACCCGCAGGCCUUCUUCCUCACUGAAAGUGCUUUACAACCCGAAGGCCUUCUUCACACACGCGGCAUGGCUGGAUCAGGGUUGCCCCCAUUGUCCAAUAUUCCCCACUGCUGCCUCCCGUAGGAGUCUGGGCCGUGUCUCAGUCCCAGUGUGGCUGAUCAUCCUCUCAGACCAGCUACGGAUCGUCGCCUUGGUGAGCCGUUACCUCACCAACCAGCUAAUCCGACAUAGGCUCAUCCGAUAGCGCGAGGCCCGAAGGUCCCCCGNUUUCCCCCGUAGGGCGUAUGCGGUAUUAGCCUGGGUUUCCCCAGGUUAUCCCCCACUACCGGGCAGAUUCCUAUGCAUUACUCACCCGUCCGCCGCUCGCCACCAGGGAGCAAGCUCCCCGUGCUGCCGCUCGACUUGCAUGUGUAGCUCGCCGCCACGCGUCAUCUGAGCAGAAUACAACUACUGA
rnacentral:rRNA from 1 species